CUAACCUUAACCCCUAAACCCCCUAAAAAAAAAUAGCAUUUGACCUUGUGGGGACCAAUAAAAUGUCCCAGUUGGUCUAAUUUGUGUUGUUUACUGUUCUGGUAUAAUUAAACAGGUCCAUCACUGCUGCUGUGUUGAGGUAGUGUUGAGGUAGUGAGGUCCAUCACUGCUGUUGCUGUGUUGAGGUGGUGUUGAGGUAGUGAGGUCCAUCACUGCUGCUGCUGUGUUGAGGUGGUGUUGAGGUAGUGAGGUCCAUCAGGUGUUGAGGUAGUGAGGUCCAUCACUGCUGCUGCUGUGUUGAGGUGGUGUUGAGGUAGUGAGGUCCAUCAGGUGUUGAGGUAGUGAGGUCCAUCACUGCUGCUGCUGUGUUGAGGUGGUGUUGAGGUAGUGAGGUCCAUCACUGCUGCUGCUGUGUUUAGGUGGUGUUGAGGUAGUGAGGUCCAUCACUGCUGUUGUUGAGGUAGUGAGGUCCAUCACUGCUGCUGCUGUGUUGAGGUGGUGUUGAGGUAGUGAGGUCCAUCACUGCUGCUGCUGUGUUGAGGUGGUGUUGAGGUAGUGAGGUCCAUCAGGUGUUGAGGUAGUGAGGUCCAUCACUGCUGCUGCUGUGUUGAGGUGGUGUUGAGGUAGUGAGGUCCAUCACUGCUGUUGCUGUGUUGAGGUGGUGUUGAGGUAGUGAGGUCCAUCACUGCUGCUGCUGUGUUGAGGUGGUGUUGAGGUAGUGAGGUCCAUCACUGCUGCUGCUGUGUUGAGGUGGUGUUGAGGUAGUGAGGUCCAUCAUUGCUGCUGCUGUGUUGAGGUGGUGUUGAGGUAGUGAGGUCCAUCACUGAACACAGGUCAAGAGGAGAGACAGAGAGAUGAUCUGUUAGUAGAGGAACUGGAACUGGGAACAGAUGAGGA